rnacentral:rRNA from 1 species
UGGGGAAUAUUGCACAAUGGGCGCAAGCCUGAUGCAGCGACGCCGCGUGAGGGAUGAAGGCCUUCGGGUUGUAAACCUCUUUCGUCAGGGAACAAGGCACUGCUUUUUUGGUGGUGUUGAGGGUACCUGGAUAAGAAGCGCCGGCUAACUACGUGCCAGCAGCCGCGGUAAUACGUAGGGCGCAAGCGUUGUCCGGAAUUAUUGGGCGUAAAGAGCUCGUAGGCGGCUGGUCGCGUCUGUCGUGAAAACUUCCGGCUCAACCGGGGGCUUGCGGUGGGUACGGGCCGGCUAGAGUGCGGUAGGGGUAACUGGAACUCCUGGUGUAGCGGUGGAAUGCGCAGAUAUCAGGAAGAACACCGAUGGCGAAGGCAGGUUACUGGGCCGUUACUGACGCUGAGGAGCGAAAGCGUGGGGAGCGAACAGGAUUAGAUACCCUGGUAGUCCACGCUGUAAACGUUGGGCACUAGGUGUGAGGCUCCUUUCCGGGGGUUUUGCGCCGUAGCUAACGCAUUAAGUGCCCCGCCUGGGGAGUACGGCCGCAAGGCUA